rnacentral:lncRNA from 1 species
UCUGGUGGUGGUGGUACCCAAGUUUGGGGUUUUUUUUAGGAUCUCCUUUCUCCCUCUUUAUUUGGAUUUUAUAUUUCACAUGGACCCUUAUCUGGGCAUCUUCUUCCUCACUCCCUUCUUCCAGUCCUGCUAUGCCUGGUGAGUAUCAAGAGCAUCACAGUCUGUGUCACAGGCAGGUGCUCUUCCCAGAUACCCUAAGGAAAUUCCUCUUCACCUUCCUAAAUGUCUCCUCUUUCUCACUUACCUCAGUUCUCUCUUUAAUGGAAUAGAUAUUUAACCAAAUCCCUACACACUCACUAGCAGAGAGAUUAGAUCUAUGAAAGUCUCUCUUUUCCCCUGCACCUUCCAAAAAUAACUAGGGGCCAGGUUGUAAGCUGGGGUAAAAUAGGGGAGAGUGGAUGCUGAGACCUAGCCCCUCACUUUCAAGUGGGAAGAUAACCCAAUGGAAGAGUCAGAGACUUCUGUUCUUCCAAAGGCUCCCAGUCAGCUCGUCUCUUGUCUUAAUUAAAUCAAGCGGGGCUUCUCUCACACUCCCCAAAGAGGACAGUCCGUGAUUAAGAGCUCAGAGCCCACAGGGGUGAGUUAGAUCCACGGGAGUGUCACUCUGGAUGAGCAGCCUGACAGCCAAGCUCCUUGGCACACACAGGGGCAGAAUUACUUGUCUGAAAUUCAUGUAUUAGGGUUUCCUGGGGAGCUGCUUUUGCUACAGCAAUUGCUACAGCUCAGUUUCCAACCACCUGAGUCCCAUCAAACCAGUUCUGCUGUGCACAGAUCUGUGGCCAUUUCCCGUGGACCUCUUGCUUUGUCCUGAGGGCAGUGUUAUAUUUAUUUCUUAAAAGUUCUUUAAGGGUGAACAGAAAGAGAUUAUGCUUGCAUCAAAUCUUGUAUCAUUCCUCGUGGGAUAUAUCAGUCCCAUUCCCAAAGCGAAAUGGUCUCUGCAGGUAUUUUUCCUAUGUGAUUUUUACUGAGUACCCAAAAUUUUUUUCUCAGUUGCUGUGAUGCCCUGGGGAAUCUGCUCAGCGGGUUACAGACUUAUCUCUAAGGGCAAGGAAAGUAUCUUACCACUCAAUUACUAAAAUCCCCUGCCUUCUCCAUAGCAGAUCUCUAGGGCUAUUACCACGGAUGGAGAAAAAGAGAAACUAAAGAGUAAAUGGGAACUCAUUCCUGUUAGUGUGGAAUUUCAGAUUUUCUACUCCCCUCAUUAAAACAAUACGCAACAAUUUGUAUAUAUCUAAAUACUAUAAAACAGCAAACUCAAGAUAAACCUCCCUUCUGGAACAAGGGUAAUAUGUAUGUUCUACAGAAAGGCUACGCAAGAACUUAUGCUGAUUUUAUUGUUAUUUUUCUGCUCUUCCUAUGUACUUGUCUUGCUUUCCUCAAUAAAAACAGGUUUAGAAUACAUUAAAAGAAAAAACCCUAACAUUUUAAAGAAACAGUUAAAAGGAGAGAAAUUUCAGCACACAAAGAGCUAAAUAUGGAAAUCCAAGAUAUUUUCAGUCCAAAGUUGGAUGUUUAAAUUCCCUGUCUCUCAGAAGUUUUUAUCUAAGAGAAAAGUUUAUAGAUCAAGACAACCCCGCUUCUCUCUGUAUGUUGCUAAUAGGUCAUGAGUUCCAUAGAGAAAGGAAAAUUGCAACCUUUAUUUGAAAUUAUCAUUUUGCAGACACUGUCCCUUAACUCUUGAGGAGAAAAAAGACAAAUUUGUGGGAAUCGUAAAAUAAUUCUGCCUGAAUUUUUUGCUGGUUUUCUCUAUCUCAUCCAACUAUUUAAAAAACAUUAUUUUUUUCCUGUGAUUUAAUCACAAGAAUUGGGAGUGGGAGCAUAGGGGGGAGCCGUAUAGAACAACAACAAAAAAUGGUUUUAUAUAUAUAUGUGGCCACUUCCCUUCUUUGCAUGUGGAUUAGCUUUUACCAUUUAAUGGACCAUUCAACCAGUGUAUUAUUUCUAGGUGAUCAAAAUGUCAGGGUUGCAUUUAGGAACAAAAUCCUCAAAAUAAAUAUAACGAAAUAGAGAAAAAUGAAGGAAAAA